AGUGGGAUAGCUAGGUCAAAUAGUGGUUCCAUUCCAAGUUUUUUGAGGAAUCUCCAUACUGCUUUACAGAAUGGUUGCACCAAUUUGCAGUCCCACCAGCAAU
rnacentral:pre_miRNA from 1 species